rnacentral:sRNA from 1 species
UUCCGUAGGGUGACCUGCGGAGGGAUCAUUACAAGAAGCCGAAAGGCUACUUCAAACCAUCGCGAACUCGUCCAAGUUGCUUCGGCGGCGCGGCACCCCUUAACGGGGGCGCCGCAGCCCUGCCUCUCCGGAGGUUCGGGGCGCCCGCCGGAGGUACGAAACUCUGUAUUAUAGUGGCAUCUCUGAGUAUAAAACAAAUAAGUUAAAACUUUCAACAACGGAUCUCUUGGUUCUGGCAUCGAUGAAGAACGCAGCGAAAUGCGAUAAGUAAUGUGAAUUGCAGAAUUCAGUGAAUCAUCGAAUCUUUGAACGCACAUUGCGCCCGGUAGUACUCUACCGGGCAUGCCUGUUCGAGCGUCAUUUCAACCCUCAAGCCCUGCUUGGUGUUGGGGCCCUACGGCUGCCGUAGGCCCUGAAAGGAAGUGGCGGGCUCGCUACAACUCCGAGCGUAGUAAUUCAUUAUCUCGCUAGGGAGGUUGCGGCGUGCUCCUGCCGUUAAAGACCCAUCUUUAACCAAGGUUGACCUCGGAUCAGGUAGGAAUACCCGCUGAACUUAAGCAUAUCAAUAAGGCGGAGGAA